rnacentral:rRNA from 1 species
UACAGAGGGUGCAAACGUUGUUCGGAAUUACUGGGCGUAAAGCGUGUGUAGGCGGCCUCGCAAGUCGGAUGUGAAAGCCCCGGGCUCAACCCGGGAAGUGCACUCGAUACUGCUUGGCUAGAGUCUCGGAGAGGUUGGUGGAAUUCUCGGUGUAGAGGUGAAAUUCGUAGAUAUCGAGAGGAACACCGGUGGCGAAGGCGGCCAACUGGACGAAGACUGACGCUGAGACACGAAAGCGUGGGGAGCAAACAGG